rnacentral:rRNA from 1 species
ACGGGAAACCGGAGACUAAUACCGGAUAAGAUAUCGAACCGCAUGGUUCGAUAGUGAAAGAUGGUUUUGCUAUCACUUAUAGAUGGACCCGCGCCGUAUUAGCUAGUUGGUGAGGUAACGGGCUCACCAAGGCAACGAUACGUAGCCGACCUGAGAGGGUGAUCGGCCACACUGGAACUGAGACACGGUCCAGACUCCUACGGGAGGCAGCAGAG